ACAGAGGGAAGUCACCUCCCGUGGGUAUUGAUUUUUCUCUCUGUGAAUGUUAAAUGUUUAUUAAAAGGCUUGAGCAGCGACAGAAAAGAAAGGCAGAAUGGCCUGAGGUGAUAUCCUCUUCCCUCGCUGAGAACGCCUCCCCCUCCACUCUCUCCUCUUGAGCGAACACAGAUUGACUUCAGGACAGCCCAGAUCCGCCUUUUCCUAUCUGUCUCCGGGGCACAGCCCACUUUCCUAACUGCCCCGAUGUCCCUCUUCUCUCGUCCACGCACAGCCUUGAUUGCCUUCUCACAGCCCAGUGCCUCUGAAUGCCAGAACCGCGGGAAAUCCAUAAGGCUGCAUUUGUGCAUAAGGAAGGCUGUAAGUGGAUGAGUCAAGCAAACAGGAAGUCAUGUAAACAUGCAGAUAAUCUUCACGGGGAUGAACAUGACAAGCAGUGAAAAGACAAAACAAAUCUCCCUGUCUGUCAGCUGCAUGUGCGAGUAUGCUAAUUGCCUCCAGGCAACAGAUGAGGUGGCACACUGUGAUUAUAAUCACAGAUAAGUUGGAGAUUUUCAUAUUUUGUAGACAGAGUCCCGCCAGCUUGACCUUUGAGUUGUUUUCAUGGGACUUUCCUGCGUGUGAUCAAUACAGCAGCAGCCCUCCUGAGGAUCAGGCCCAGUGCUCAGAAUUUUUCAUUUCUUUCACAGUUCUGCUGUUAUUGUGCAUCAUUGCAGCAAUGAUAACCUUA